UUGCAUCUGAACCGCAGUUGGUUCGAUGUAGUUUCUCCUCUAUUUCUCCUUUGCAGACUUCUGCGCCGCCCUUUAGCGGCGCAUUUUU
rnacentral:ncRNA from 1 species